UGAUGUUAUUUUUAAAAUUUCAUUCUGUCAUGCUUUUUUUAAUUACUGAACAUUAACAUUUGGUGUGCAGGCAUAGCUAAGGAGAGGUUCUUGAUGCUCCAAAUGUUAUGAACAUGAGAAAAGACACUAAGGCUGCACAAGAGGUCCGUGCACUGGAUGAUUUCUUUGACAUGCUUUCCAAUGUAAGUUCUGUUCUCAAAAUGAGUGGAUUUCGGCUUUAAUUGUAAAGUUUUCUUUCCUUGCCUGGCUUUCUAUAUGUCGAUAAUGAAUCACAAAAACUCAAGGAUAAGGUUGGAAACUAGAACACAAUGAACCUAAGUUCAACUCUAUGAGCCAUUCAAUCUUAACAUAUGAUUAAUGGUAAAAUUACUUAUAGAUUAGCUCUUUUAAUAUGCUUAUAUUUAUGAGAUAACUCGAAUCCUAGGUAAAUUCUUAAAAUGUGCUUAAGAUAACUCGUGAGUCCCAACUAAAUUCUUAAAAUGUGCUUUGAGUGUGGGGUUUUUUGAUAGGAUACAGCUCGAGCAUGCUGUGGAUCGAAGCAUGUAGAGGUUGCCCAUGAACAAGUGGCUGUCCAAACUCUUCUCAUCACAGAUGAUCUGUUCAGAAAUGCUGAUAUACCAACAAGGCAGAAGUAUGUCAAUUUAGUCAACUCAAUGAAGGAUUCAGGAGGCAAUGUUCAUAUAUUUUCAUCUAUGCAUGUCUCAGGAGAGCAAUUGGCACAAUCGAUUGGCAUUGCUGCAAUCCUUGGAUUUCGUCUACCAGACCUAGAAGACAUUGAGAUGUGAUAGAGGUAUAUGUAUUAAUAUUUAUCUGCUUGCAUCGACAGUUGUAUAAUAUGUUAAGUUCAACAUUAUUUAUAUACCCAACAAAGCAAUAGAUAGCUGUUCAAGUUGAACUUUCGUGUUUAUAUUAUAUAAAUUGUAUAACAGUAUGUAUAAUGAAAUUGUGGAGUAUAAAAUUAAAGAUUUCAUGAAAUUUUUCAGUUUAAUAAAUCUCAUUAGGUAUGAGAUCCUAACAA